UACAGAGGUCUCAAGCGUUGUUCGUAUUCAUUGGGCGUAAAGGGUGUGUAGGUGGCGCCGUAAGUCGGGUGUGAAAUUUCGGAGCUUAACUCCGAAACUGCAUUCGAUACUGCGGUGCUUGAGGACUGGAGAGGAGACUGGAAUUCAUGGUGUAGCAGUGAAACGCGUAGAGAUCAUGAGGAAGACCAGUGGCGAAGGCGGGUCUCUGGACAGUUCCUGACACUGAGACACGAAGGCCAGGGGAGCAAACGGG
rnacentral:rRNA from 1 species